ACCUGACUGGCUUAGUUGGUAGAGCAUGCAACUCUUGAUCUCAGGGUAUGAGUUCGAGCCCUAUGUUGGGCA
rnacentral:tRNA from 1 species